UACAGAGGUCUCAAGCGUUGUUCGGAUUCAUUGAGCGUAAAGGGUGCGUAGGCGGCGCGGUAAGUCGGGUGUGAAAUCUUGGAGCUUAACUCCGAAACUGCAUUCGAUACUGCCGUGCUUGAGGACUGGAGAGGAGACUGGAAUUUACGGUGUAGCGGUGAAAUGCGUAGAUAUCGUAAGGAAGACCAGUGGCGAAGGCGGGUCUCUGGACAGUUCCUGACGCUGAGGCACGAAGGCCAGGGGGAGCAAACGGG
rnacentral:rRNA from 1 species